UACGGAGGGAGCUAGCGUUGUUCGGAAUUACUGGGCGUAAAGCGCACGUAGGCGGCUUUUCAAGUCAGGGUGAAAUACCCGGGGCGUCAACCUCGGAACUGCCCUUGAAACUGGAAGGCUAGAAUCCUGGAGAGGCGAGUGGAAUUCCGAGUGUAGAGGUGAAAUUCGUAGAUAUUCGGAAGAACACCAGUGGCGAAGGCGACUCGCUGGACAGGUAUUGACGCUGAGGUGCGAAAGCGUGGGGAGCAAACAGGAUUAGAACCA
rnacentral:rRNA from 1 species